AUAUUAUUAAUAAUUAUUUGUGAUGUUACCUUGAGAAAUUAAUUAUUAUCUCUUCAAGACUAGAUUAUUUUACUAGUCUAUCGCUUAAUAGCUUUUAUCAGCAUUUUGAUGUAGAUACGGCGUACUAGUUGGAAAACUAUUUCAUGGUCCCCGACCUUCAAUUGCG
rnacentral:misc_RNA from 1 species